rnacentral:lncRNA from 1 species
AGAACCAGGUGGAGGAAUGGAUAUUACAGUGACCAUCAGAACAUACCCAGUGGAGUUCCCAAGAACUGCCAAUCACAUCUGACCAGGCAACUAACGUGUCACAUUUUCUGACAUGUUGGGAUGUUGAGAAAGGUGGUGACAGGAGUAGGGAGAGAUGGGAACACAGAAUCAGACUGCAUUGGUUAUCUUUUCCUCCCCCUUGACAACCACUGAUUUGCUUGCCAUCAUUAGAGAUUAGUUUUCAAGUUCUACAGCUGUGCUGUCUCUAGCCACAUAAGCUCGUGAACAUGAGUUGUGGCUGAUCCGGAUUAAGAGGCAAUGUAAGUGUAAC